GAUGAACGCUGGCGGCGUGCCUAAUACAUGCAAGUAGAACGCUGAAGGAGGAGCUUGCUCUUCUGGAAGAGUUGCGAACGGGUGAGUAACGCGUAGGUAACCUGCCUCUUAGCGGGGGAUAACUAUUGGAAACGAUAGCUAAUACCGCAUAAAAGUCGACAUUGCAUGAUGUUGACUUGAAAGGUGCAAAUGCAUCACUAAGAGAUGGACCUGCGUUGUAUUAGCUAGUUGGUGAGGUAACGGCUCACCAAGGCGACGAUACAUAGCCGACCUGAGAGGGUGAUCGGCCACACUGGGACUGAGACACGGCCCAGACUCCUACGGGAGGCAGCAGUAGGGAAUCUUCGGCAAUGGGGGCAACCCUGACCGAGCAACGCCGCGUGAGUGAAGAAGGUUUUCGGAUCGUAAAGCUCUGUUGUAAGAGAAGAACGAGUGUGAGAGUGGAAAGUUCACGCUGUGACGGUAUCUUACCAGAAAGGGAC
rnacentral:rRNA from 1 species